AGGACGAACGCUGGCGGCGCGCUUAACACAUGCAAGUCGAACGUGAAGCUGGAGCUUGCUCCGGUGGAAAGUGGCGAACGGGUGCGUAACACGUGAGCAACCUGCCCCGAAGACUGGGAUAACACCGGGAAACCGGUGCUAAUACCGGAUACCUUCUUCCGAUCGCAUGGUUGGAUGAAGAAAUGGAUUCCGCUUCGGGAUGGGCUCGCGGCCUAUCAGCUUGUUGGUGAGGUAACGGCCCACCAAGGCGACGACGGGUAGCUGGUCUGAGAGGACGACCAGCCACACUGGGACUGAGACACGGCCCAGACUCCUACGGGAGGCAGCAGUGGGGAAUCUUGCUCAAUGGGCGAAAGCCUGAAGCAGCGACGCCGCGUGCGGGAUGAAGGCCCUCGGGUUGUAAACCGCUUUCAGCAGGGACGAAUUGACGGUACCUGCAGAAGACGGCCCGGCCACUACGCGCCAGCAGCCGC
rnacentral:rRNA from 1 species